GGAGAGGGGACGCAGGGCGGGAGGCUUAAGAGAAGGGGGUCGCGGACAGAGGUUUAGCCAGGGUGGUAGAGGGGGACGUUUGUCCCCGGGCGUAAGUCCAAGGGGGAGCCGGACGAGGUCGGCGGGGUUUCACACUCCCUCGCCCUGUUGACGAGGCUGGGGGACAGGGGCGGGGGCAGGGCAAGUUUUGAGACUGUACCUGGGCGCUCGUGACCCUUGCUAGCCUUUGGCUACGGAUCCGUCCACUUAUCCCAAAUCUGCCUUUUACCACUGUUAUUGGGAUAUCCCCCGCCCUUUCUCCUUGCCCUGUGAGUUUUUUUUUUUAGACAUUUACUCUCUAAACCAAUAUUAAUUUUUUAAAUGUGUGCCUUGGGCACAUACUUUAUUUUAUGUAAUCUCAACAGCCUUUGAGAUGGGAGUUGUCUCUCUCCUAAAAACAGAAAAGUGAAGCUCCGAGAUGGUCGUUUGCUCAAGGUUAUUUAGCGAUUCGGAGGGAGAAAGGACCUGCGACCUGCUCCUUUAGAAAGAUUUACAGCCUAGGAAACCCCAUGGGGCAGUUUUGCUCCGCUCUGUAGGAUUGCUGUGAGUUGGAAUUGACUGGAGGGCACACAACAACCAUCUAGGGUAGAAUCUCUAGGAAUCUGAGGCAUCUAACUUUCUACUCUUCCUUGUGGUUCUUGUUCCCUAUCAGCAGCAAGAAGCUUGUUAGAGAUGCAAAUUAUGGGGCCCACCCCAGACCUUUUGAACCGGAAAUUCUGGGUUUGGGCCGUAUAAUCCGAUUAACAAUCUCUGAGCUGAUGCUGUUGCAGACCACUUAUCUCACAACCUUUUUAAGGGUUGGGAAAAAGGGUCUUAGUUGCCAACUCCUGCCGCUCCUCAGAAACCCAGUGGGGCAGCACUACUCUGUCCUAUAGGGUCUCUAUGAGUCGGAAUCAACUGCAUUACAAGGGAUUGGUGGUGGUUUUGGUUUUUUUAGGCCUGACGCUAGACUGAGGCGUUUUGCGUAAUUCGUUGAUCUAAUCCUCCCAAAUCCCCUUUUCAGGAGAGAAAACUAGCUCAGACGAGUUACUUGCUCAAACUUUCAAUGAGUGUAGAAUGCUAACAUUUGUGUAAAAUGGCACAAGAUUAUGGGUGCCGUUUGCUUGCACCAUAUAUGCAUAAAUGUCUCUAGAAGGAUAUAAGAAACUGUUAACAUUAUUUUGUCUCGAGGGAUGAAAUAGGAAGAGAGGUUUUUUUCUCUGUGUUUUAGUACCUUUUGAAUUUUGACACAUAAAUCUAUUCCUACAAUUGAAAUAAAAUUAAACAUUAAAAAAAAAAUCACAGAACAGCACUAGAGCUAGGUGUCUGGCUCCAGAAUCCACAUGUUUUUCAGCUCACAAGAAAAAUUAUUUUAAACGUGAAACGCUAUAUUAAUUUGAGAUAUUGCUAGUAAUAAUGAAACAUUAAAUUAUUUCUUAGAAAUUUAGUCACCGUUUAAAACUUUUAAACAGAUAACCAUGUCUAAUUCUGGGCUCUGUGGCACAUUGUAUGAUGCAUGAAAUGUUAAUAUUUUUAUUACUAACAAGAGCUAUAAAAUAAGCAUAAAACAGAACAUAAAUGUAAUGCCUGGCCUCUAAGGAGUAUUGAUGUAUAAUUAAUUGAUAACUGUGAAGAGGUUUGAGCUCUAUCAGUGUAGGUCAAUAUGGAAAGGCAAAGCUCUGUUAUUCCUAAAACUGAUCAUUCUGAAAGAUUUUAUUAUGAUUAUGUAGCUAUUAGAUUCAAUUUGCAAUUAAAUGUGUAUAAAUAAUGCUUUUUGUUUUUCCACUAAAUGUAUAUCCAAAAUACGUGAAGAGCUACCUGAGUGGGAAAACUGGCCAUUCAUUCACCAUUUUUUUUAUGGGAAAUUACAAAGGCAAUUCAGGGCUGUGUGAUCUUGGGCAUGUUACCUAACCUCUUGGUGGCUCAGUUUGCUCAUCUGUAAAACAGAUCAUUAAAGUACUUUUCUCAGGCUUGUGAGGAUGAAUUGAAUCAUUACAGGAGCUGUGUUUGGAACAGUGCUUGGUAUGGACCCAAUUCAAGAUAAGUCUUAGCUAAAAAAAAAAUCAAAAGAUGUAGAAGUUUGACAGUUCAGAGGAGAAAGAUGUUAAUGUUUUGUGCCAAGACCCUUAUUGCUGGAAGGGAUUGUAAAGAUCUUGGAAUAUUUCAAACAUUUGUUCCUAGCAGUUGUAUCUGGUCCCUGAAAUUAGGAGAUGGAGUCUCAGUAGUGAUCACCUAAAUAUCCGUGCAGUCCAGCUUCUGGGCCUGCAGAUCCUUACUGAGGGAAGAUUGACAGUUUUCGCUUAGGUCAGAGGCCGGGAGUGGUGUGCUGGAGUUGGCUGGCGAGAAUGAUUGUGCAUAUCUCUUCUGAGUUUUGCUUUCCGUGAUGUCAUGUUGGUAGUUUGAAAUUGGCCACCUGAGGAAUAUUUAUACCACAGCAAUAGGUACACACCACAAAUUCAGGACUUUUCCGCCUGGAGACCUGGUUGUUAAAUAUUUACCAGCAUGCCACUGCUUCUUACCCCAGAGCUGAAGCCCUGCAAGGUGAAGGCACCUGGCUCCUCUCAGAUUCCCCAGUGUUACACUCUGCCUAGACUCAGCAGAGGCAUGACUAAUUAUGGCAGGUAGGGAGCCUGCUCUGGGCGCUGCUUGAGGAGGGACGCUAAGGAGCAGUUUCUGUUGGCCAUUGCAGCUUCCAUGCCAGCUAUGAGAGAUCAUUCAGGAGUUUAAAACUGAUUGCCAGAGGUGCUGUUUCCCAUAGAUAGGCCCCUGCUCAGGAGUCCCUAAGUGACUGUCAGCUGAACUGCUUUAAUAGCCUUAGUCUCUUAAUCAAAUCAAACUGUAAACCGACUACUCAUGUAAGGGGUGAGUCUGUCCAAUGUAACGCAAGUAUUCCUGGGGGCAAUGAGGAGGAAGCAAGGGGGAACUGGGAUAGGAACCUGUCGGACAUGACACUUGGAUCCCAAACAAAAGGGAACAAAAAAGGGGAGUGGGCAUGCUACUCUGAUGCACAUGCUUGAUCUGUGGCCCAUUGUAUUUUAGGGGUCAGGAACUCCAAAAAAAAAAAAAAAAAAUUAUUAUUUUGUUGCUAAACCUUUUUAGGUGUGGAGUCUUGGAAGAAAGGCUUUUGGUACAACUUCCUCUCAUUUCAGCUUCCUGUCUGGCCCAGGAGGGCCAAUCACCUUGACAUGCCUAAUGUCAGUUGGUGAAGGAGAUGGGAAGAGAGGAGCAUUUUCCACAGCAGAGGAUACCAUUUGUUCAUUCAUUUACUUAUUCACUCAUUCAUUCAAUCACUUAUUCAUUCAACAAACCCAUAGUAAAUACAUCCACAGUUUUCAUAGCUAUAUCAGAAUCACAUGAGGGAGCUUAAAAAUCAACCUCUACUUAAUCCAGUGGAGUUGAGGUGGAACAAGAAGACAUGUCUUGAAGCUGCAUUUUAAUAGCAAUUUUACAUACGGUUUAGCAAACAUCAGUUGUCCAUAGAGAAUGAGGGGUUUCGUACUGAUAAAGGACAUUGAGGGUCAUCCCUUGACUCAGCCACUGCUGUGCAAGAACCAGGACACCUUCCCUAAUAGGCCUGGGGCCCAGAAAUCUGUAUUUUGGGAGGGGGGUGGGAAGCCUACAUGUGACUCUGGUACAUGGCUAUUUGCAACUCCCUCCGUCUGCCACGUACCAGGCAGGGACUGUGGGAGAAACUGGGGAUGCAGAGAUGGAGAGACAAUGACCUUCCCUGUCCUCAAGGUGCCUCCAGUCUAGUGGCAAAAAGCUGCAGGAACAGUGUAAUUUCAGUAGAGUCUAGUGUUUUUUUUUUUUUUUUUUCUAGUGUUAGAUGACAGUGAAUAUUUGUACUGAGCUUUCUUUGUGUUAAAUUUUAUACUCUCGCAGCUCUUUACUGAAAAAUAUUCAAGACUACCCGAAAAAUUUAGCUUCAUAAACAUCCGUCCCCAAUACCUAGCUUCGCUAGUUCACAUUUUGCCACAUUUGCUUUAUGUUUCCUCUUUCUUUUUAUGAGAGUUAGUGGCAGAGCAAUCCUCUUUUAAAAGUUAGGGAAACUAGAGUUUAGAGAGAGAAGUAAUUGUUCAAGGCUCUCAUUGCUUAUAUUUGAGGGAGCUGGGAUUGGAACCUAGUUCUCCGUGUGUCUACUACUUCCCCUGAAAAAAGAAAAUAAGUAAGUUAACUGUGCUUUAACUGUUAAACAGGGAGGGAACUGUCUCUCAAAUGUUAAAAUCCCUCCCUCGGAGUAACUGUCGGGGUAGUGGUUCUUCCAGGAGGCCAAGCUCCCUCCUCCCACAGUAUUCAAGCUGAAGGCUGUACGUGUGAUGAGAUCUCAUAAACAGGUAGCACCCAGACACAGGCUAGGUAAAUUGCGGGGGGGGGGGGCUGUUGAGAGGAACCAUCCCCCUUCUCUGAAAGUGUGAAAGUGAACUUGGAGGAAGAGUCAUCUUCUGGGAAGGAGACUGAGGCAAAAGCUUCUUAUAAUCCUGUUAACUCCCAGUUUUUGUCCUUUUUGUAGUUCAUUCUCUUAAAACUCUCUUAUCUCUGUCCUGACCUCUGUCUUUGGUUACAUUUCUAAAACUCCUUAGCAUAUCUUUCUUUCAGUUAUCAGUUGAUGGGUUCCAGUCCCCUAGUUAUUGUCCUAAAUCCAGGUGGCCUUUACUCACUGAUGGCCUUGUCCCUGCCCAGCUGACUCACAGGGUUUUAUCUCCAGGCUGUAGUUUUCCUGUGUACUCCAGACCCAGAUAUUUCAUUGCCUUCUGGGCAUUUCUACUUGAAUGUCUCAAAAUACCCUCAAAGUCAGUUUAUCUAGGAAUGAGCUCCUGAUCUUCCUUCUCCUUCACUCGACCACCGUUUAAGGCUACCAUUUCCCUUUCUUAGUGGAUAGCUCCACCUUCCACUGUCCUGAACACUUGGAGCCAUCUCUGGAAUUUCCCUCUCCUGAGGCACGCCCUAGCCAUUGAGUUCUUUUACCUUUCCCCAUCUCUUAAAUCCCUUAUCUCUAUUGCCUCCACCCUAAUCCAAGAUAUAGCAUUCCUCCCUGGACUCCAGUGCAGUCAUGUGCCACAUAACUUCCAUUCGGGCAAUGUCAGAAUGCCUACGUACAUCCAUUGUUCCAUUAGAUUAUAAUAACAACAACAAAAGCCUGUGGGAGUUGGUUCUGACUUAUAGUGACCCAAUAGGACAGAGUAGAACUGUCCCAUAGGGUUUCCAAGGAGUAGCUGGUGGAUUUGAACUGCCGACCUUUUGCUUAGCGGCUGAGCUCUUGACCACUGUGCCACCAGGCCACAAGGUUAUAACAAAGCUCAGAAAUCCUGAUCCAACCGGGUGUAGUGAACAAAACAGCUUCUCCCAUGCAACACGUGUAUCUCAUGUCUCAUGCAUACAGGCAGUCCCGAGGUUACAAAUGAGAUCUGUUCCUAAGUCUGUCUUAAAGUCGAAUUUGUAGGUAAGUCAGAGCAGGUGCAUACGGUUCUUAUUUAGUAUCAAAUAUUUGUCUUAGUAUAGAGUAUGUAUGUUACCUUUUUAUGCACACAGAACACUUAAACACUUUGAAAAGGAGCAGUGUUUUUAUGAGCAUCACAAAGUAGUGCCUGUGUUAUUACAAACCAUUGUAUGUAUUUAACUCAAAUUUUUAAUAAAAUAGGCUUUAUGGCAGUGCAUUCAUAAGUAUGAGUUGUCCGUAAGUCAGACAACUUACAUAACUCCCAGGCACUGCUGUUCUGGUGUUUGCAGGGUCCUAAUGACAUAAGGUCCUAUUUCACACAAUGUGUUGUGAACAUCAAGCAACACAUGACUUUAAUAGCUCUGUGUUGCUUGGACCCCUUUUCAGUGGAAUCCCCGAGGCAGUCAAGAUGACCUUGUCACAAUGUAGAUCUGGUCAAGUCACCCCCCUUCCCCUUCAGUAGCCUCCUGCAGCUCUCCAGGCCCUAAUCCCCAACAUGAGUAAGGCGUAUGAGGCCCUGCGUGGCCUGGCCCCUGCUUGUCCCGCCAGCAGCAUCGCGAGUGCUGCUGCCCCUACUCUUUGGGCUCUAGCCACAGGAACAUCCAUCUGCCUGCUCACCUGGGAACCUUUGGUAGGCUCUUCCCUCCUCCUGUGCACUCCCUUCCCACCCCUCACCAGCUACCAACUGCUGUUCUUAGAUCUUGACUCCAUCAUCUCUUUCUCAAGGAUGCUUCCCCCUCCCUAACCAGGUCGGUUCUCCUUCUUAUAUACUGUCGCAGUGCUUACUACCAUUGAUCAUUGAUGAUUCGUUGAUGUUUUUGUUCAUCUCCCCACCUGGACCACAAGUUCCAUGUGGGCAGGUGCUGCAUCUUCCUUCACUGACUUUUGUAUCCUAGCUGCCUACCUGGUACAUAGUAGGCAUUGAAUAAAUAUUUGUUUAAUGAAUGAAGGAGGAAAUUCUGAGUAACAGAAUACUUGGUUCUAAAAAGGAUUCUCUUAAUAACCAAUUACUUAGCAUCUUUAUUGCCAUCUAGUGGUGACUGAUGUUAUACUGCUGGACCCAUUCUUCCUGAUUGCCCUGUAUUUAUAGCUGGUUUUUUUACUCCUGGCACGAAGGGAAUCAAUACCAUGAACAGUAGAUGUUUUUUGGGCAUUUGCCUUGUUUCAGGGAUGUUACUAGGCACUUUGCAACAGUUCGUACUUGAUACCAUGAGGCAGUAGGUAUUACUGGUCCCUUUUUAUAUGUGAAAGGAGGCCUGGUGGCACAGUGGUUAAAAUGCUUGGCUGCUAACCAAAUGGUUGGCAGUUUGAACCAACCCACUAGCCACUCCUUUGGAGAAAGAUGUGGCGUUCUGCUUCCAUAAAGGUUUACAGCCUUGGAAACCCUGUGGGGCAGUUCUGCUCUAUCCUAUAGGGUCGCUAUGAGUUGGAAGCAACUUGACGGCAGUGGUUUGGGCUUUGGUUUUUUUAAUAUGUGAACAUAGGGAGAGUAAGCUACCUUCCCAAGGCCACGUGGCAAGGAGGAGACUUCAGAUUCAACACUAGGAUUUUUAACCAAAUGCCGUCAAGUUGAUUUUGGCUAAUGGUGAUCCCAUGUGUUUUAGAAUAGAAUUGUGCUUCAUAGGGUUUUCAACAGCUGAUACCUUGAAAGUAGAUGGCCAGUCCUGUCUACCAAGGUGCCUCUCGGUGGACUCGAACCUUCAGACUUUCGGUAAACAUGUUUUGUAACAGAAGAGAUUAAUUUGUGGCUCCAUGAUUUUCAGUAGAAUGUCUGCAAUCUUGGCGGAGUGCUCGCUGGUUACUCUGCAGCCAGGAACCCAUGAGUGCUCCCAACCUGAAGCCCCCCACCCCUUGGCAACUGGAUACACCGUGUCUCUGGAUGGCUCCCAGAAGAUCUUUCUUGGUGUAGGUUUCCUAGGCCUUUUGAAUUUGUGGGCUAGAAAGCUGUGACCUUAAAGUCCCUACAAAGUUCCAGACCUUUUGAUGGUUACAUUUUUUACCAGUCUUCAUAAAGUACACUUAAGAUCUAUGGUAAACAUUGAUUAUAUAUACACAGUCACCUUGAAUAUUUUUUGAAACAAGGUAGAAUAUACAUAAGUUGUACUAAGUGUGCUUUGUAUUAUGAUGUGUUCAUCAUGAGAAGUUGUAUGCAGGUAACUUUUUGAGGAGUAAAUUUGGUAAUAUUCUUUUACGUUGAAUAAAAAGGAGACAAGUGUCAACUUUAAUAUGUAAGUUGGAAAAGGAGCAUGCCACAUGUUAUUUAAAAGGCAGAAACCAAAUAAAUAAAUAAAAACCCCAAACUGGUUGCCAUCAAAUCGAUUCCGACUCAUGGUGACCCCAUGUGCAUCAGAGUAGAACUGUGAUCCACAGGGUUAUCAAUGGCUGAUUUUUUGGAAGUAGAUUGCCAGGACUAUUUUUUUUUUUACAUUCACAUGUAUUUGUUCCUUUCUUUUUUUUAAAAUUGUACUUUAGUAAAGGUUUACGGAGUAGUUUCUCAUUAAACAGUUAAUACACAUGUUAUUCUGUGACAUUGGUUUCCACCCCCACGACAUGUCAAUGCUCUCCUGUUCUAGACCUUGGGUUCCCCAUUACCAGCUUUCCUGUCCCCUCCUGUCUUCUCGUCUUUGCCCCUGGGCUGGUGUGCCCAUUUAGUCUUGUUUUAUGGGCCUGUCCACUCUUUGGCUGAAGGGUGAACCUCAGGAGUGACUUCAUUACUGAGCUAAAAGGGAGUCUAGGGGCCAUACUCUCAGGGUUUCUCCAGUCUGUCAGACCAGUAAGUCUGGUCUUUUUUUGUGGCUUAGACUUUUGUUCUACAUUUUCUUCCAGCUCUGUCUGGGACCCUCUUUUGUGAUCCCUGUCAGAGCAGUCGGUGGUGGUAGCUGGGCACCAUCUAGUUGUGCUGGACUCAGUCUAGUGGAGGCUAUGGUAGUUGUGGUCCGUUAGUCCUUUGGAGUAAUCUUUCCAUGUCUUUGGUUUUCUUCAUUCUCCUUUGCUCUAAACAGGGCCAGGCAUUUCUUUUGAGGCACCUCUGGGUGGACACAAACCUCCAACCUUUCCCUUAGAAGCAAGUGAGUUAACCGUUUGCAUUCCCCAGGGACUACAUUUAAAAGACCCCGUGGCGAAUUCUGUUAUAGAGACCCAAACCCACUGCUGUUGAGUCAACUCCGACUCAUAGAGACCCUGUAGGACAGAGUAGAAAUGCCCCAUAGAGUUUCCAAGGCUGUAAACCUUCACAGAGGUAUACUGCCACGUCUUUCUCCACGGAGCCGCUGGUGUUUUUGAACCGUUGACCUCUCAGCAGCUCAGUGCUUUAACUUCUGUACCAUCAGGGCUUCCUGAGAACUACUAGAGCAGUGAAUUAUGCCCUAAUUUAUACCAAUCUGCUUCCUGCUUUCUGUCUUUUUCUGGGCAGCUCAAGACGCACGAAACCUCACAGUUUCUCCCCCCGCUUCGGAAGAAAGCCAGACAGAGGGAUUCCCUUCUGCCUUAGUCUCCACGGCUUGGGUCUUCUCCAGGAUUGAACGGUGGUCAGUGUAUGAAAGCCAGAAGCGGAUCCUCUUUCUCCAAUGUAACUGUGUCUGGCUACUCUUCAUACUUCGGAGAGCUUGACUAAAAUAAACGCCCUUGUCCCCUUCGCCGCCGCCUUGGUCAGGUGAGGGGUGUCAGGCUGGUGGCUGCUACAGGUCUGUGGGGUCUUACCAUAUUGGCUGACAUGGCAUUUGUGGAAAUGUCUGUGCCUGGGCUGUGUAGGUAUGUGCGUUAGCGACCCCUGGUGGAGACUCUUGGCAUUUCAUCAUUUCUUGCUUGUGCCUCCUGCUGGGCUCCCUCUAAUGCAUUCUCCACGCAGAAUCCAGAGCCCACACGGGUUAGGUGGCCAGUGUGCUGUAUUACGAGGAGUCCACAUGGUGCAGUGUUUAAGCCCUCGGCUGCUAACCACAAGGUCGGCAGUGCAAACCCACCAGUGGCUCUGUGGGAGAAAGAUUUGGCAGUCUGCUUCUGUAAAGAUUUACAGCCUUGGAAACCCUGUGAGCAGUUCCACUCUGUCCUAUAGGGUGGCUGUGAGUCAGAAUUGGCUCCACAGUAGUGGGUUUUUUUUUUGUUGUUGUUGUUCUUGCAUAAACCUUUCAGCCACUCCUGGUGCCUUACAGAAUAAAACUCUUUUUAGCUAAGCAUACCAGACCAAAAACGAAACCCAUUGCCUUCAAAUUGAUUCUGACUCAUAGCAACCACAAAGGACAGAGUAGAAUUUUCCCACAGGGUUUCCAAGGAGCGGCUGGUGGAUUCGAACUGCCGACCUUUUGGUUAGCAGCCAAGCUCUUAACUACUGCACCACCAGGGCACCAGCUAAGCAUACAGUGGCCUUGAUAUCUGGUCCCUGCUCACCUCUCCAUCCUCUAAUUUCAGCUUUCUGAUUUUUCACAUCCCGAACUUUCUGCCUAGAAUGUUCUCAUGUCAUAUCUUUGCCUGUUUAAUUUCUUACUGUUUUUCUUAGCCCAGGGAUAAGUCCUUACAUAAAUCUCUGGGUGAUUCUGGCACACAGUGAGUGACCGAACCAGUGAGUAAAUGAAUAAAUAAAUAUAUAGAUAAGGUCUUUUUUUUUUUUUUCCUCCGGUACAAUGAUUUAAUUGAAGCAUUGUUUGAAAUAGGAAAAGUUUGGGAGCCAUUUAAAUGUCCAUUGGUGGGGAAUCAGUUUAAGAUAACAGACGUAACUGUAUAGUGGAAUACUGUAUAGCAGUGGGGCAUCUCCAUGCUGCUGUGGAAGAAUCUCCAAUGUAGAAUGUUAAGGUUUCGAAAGCUGUGUAGGUUUAUUUUUGACGUAUGGCAAAAAAGGGCCUAUUACACACAGACGUGCUCUGCCCAGCAGCCAGAGGUUGCCUUUGGGGAACGGAACUGGGGAAUGUGCAUUUCUCUGUGUGCCCUUUUGUAUCUUUUGCACUUCGUACCAUGCAGUAUGUAUUUGCUAUUAAAAAACAACAGCAAAACAAGCAAACAAAAAUUUGGAAAGAAGGCAGAUAACAUGUCCAGAGAGACAAGUGAUUGAUUUUCUCCAGAUGGUACCCAGGGAGGGAUGCUUUGUGCUCUACAAAUGAUUAUUAGAUCAAGUGAGCAAGAGAAAACUUAAACUCAACUUGGUUGGUUAACUUUUCUGACUUUCAGCUAAGAUUAACCAUUGAUCUGUUUUUUUUGACCACCCCAUAGAUUUCUUAAUAACUGAAUCGUAUCAACAAUGUAGUGAUCAGAUCUAUUUAGGACUCAGAGACUGACCUGAGAAUGUUCCAUCCACAUGAGGUCAAGGACAAAGCCUUGACCUCGCUGCGGCCCUUCCAAAGCAGGCAUCUGGGAGACUGCUCCUUCUAAGCAAGGAAAACAGCUUUAAGAUGAAUUCCAUAGCCCGAUCCUAAUAAAUGCUUAUGGCUGGACCCAAGGGGCCACUGUCUCCACCUCAGGGGAGAUGGAUAGGCCUUCCUGUAGAAUGGAUGCUUGUUGAUUAUUAAAGUACCUCUUUGAGUUAAUUACCAUCUUAUAUUAUGGUCUCAUGGUGCCUGAGCAGCACAAGAAUAUCUUCCUGUCUUUCAUCUGGUUUUCAUCCCAGUGAAAGCUGUGAGGUGCUCAAAUUAUCCUUCGUCCUCUCUCCCAGAUGAAUCUACAGUCAUGCUGACAUGUCAAUACCAGGACAGAUGGUGAGUGAAUCAUACAGGCCCUGACUAUUUGUUAUCAGUGACAAAUACCUUUUCUGUUUCAAAUAUUCCAAUUUAAUAAAAGCAAUUGUCUUGGGCUGAGUUCUCUAGAGAAGCAAAACCAGAGAGAGAGAGAGAGAGAAAGAGAGAGAUUUAUCUCAAGGAAAUGGCUCAUGUAGUUGUAGAGGCUGGCAAGUUCCAAGUCUUGUGGGUCAGGUGUCAGGCUGGAGCCUUCUCUUGACUCACAUAGCUGCAGGGGCUGAUGAACCCAAGAUCAGCAGGUUAGACAGUAGGCUACUGACUCACGGACUACAGAAGCCGACGAAUCCCAAGAUCAGCAGGUACAAUGGCAGGCCACUGGCUCACAGGCUGCGGAGGCUGAUGAAUCCCUGUAUCACCAGGCAGUAUGGCAGGCAGCUGGCUCAAGUAUGCAGAACCAUGGGGCAGAUGAUGAUGAGCUGGAUGUAGGAUCCAGAGCAAGCAAGUGAGCUUUGUCAGAAUGUCCAAAUAUAUAUAUUGGAUGCAGGCCACACCCCCAAAGAAACUCCCCUUUCAACUGAUUGGCUGAUCACAUCACAUCAUGGAGGAUGACUAUAUCAUUUUAUAACUGCCAAAUUAUGUCAUUACAUAACUGCCAAACCACUGAGAAUCACGGUCCAGCCAAGGUGACACACAACCUUAACCAUCCCAGUAAUAUAUUCGUCAUGUUCCUGGUUCCUGAAAAAAGGCUGCUUGGCAAUUGGACUAAACCAAAAGCAAAGAAGUUUCCUGAAUAAACUGAAUGCUUCGAAGGCCACCGUAGGAGGGGCAGGGGUCUGGGGACCAUGGUUUCAGGGGACAUCUAAGUCAAUUGGCAUAAUAGAAUCUAUUAAGAAAACAUUCUGCAUCCCACUUUGAAGAGUGGCGUCUGGGGUCUUAAACACUAGCAAGCAGCCAUGUAAGGUGCAUCAAUUGGUCUCAACCCACCUGGAUCAAAGGAGAAUGAAAAACACCAAGGACACAAGGAAAUUAUGAGCCCAAGAGACAGAAAGGGCUGCAUGAACCACAGACUACAUCAUCCUGAGACUAGAAGAACUUGAUGGUGCCCAGCUACAACCGAUGACUGCCCUGACAGGGAACACAACAGGGAACCCCUGAGAAAUCAGGAGAGCAGUGGGAUGUAGACCCCAAAUUCUCAUAAGACCAGACUUAAUGGUCUGACUGAGACUAGAAGGUCUCCGGCGGUAAUGGCCCCCAGACCUUCUGUUGGCCCAGGACAGGAACCAUUCCUGAACCCAACUCUUCAGACAUGGAUUGUACUGGACAAUGGGUUGGAGAGGGAUGCUGGUGAGGAGUGAGCUUCUUGGAUCAGGUGGACGCUUGGGACUGUGUUGGCAUCUCCUGCCUGGAGGGGAGUCGAGAGGGUGGAGGGGGUUAGAAGCUGGCGAAAUAAACACGAAAAGAGAGAGUGGAGGGAGAGAGCGCGCUGUCUCAUUAGGGGGAGAGUAAUUGGGAGUGUGUAGCAAGGCGUAUAUGGGUUUUUGUGUGACAGACUGACUUGAUUUGUAAACUUUCACUUAAAGCACAAUAAAAAAAAAAGCUGCUUGGAAAUUCUACUAUAUAAUCAAUGGGGUGACGAUGACUCUAAAUAUCACUAAUAAUGACUGACAUUUCUAUAGCUCCUUCUUGUCUUUCAAAUAUAGUCUUUAGGUGAUGCAAAUGGUCAAUGCCCUUGGCUGCUAACUGAAAGGGUGGAGGUUCAAACCCGCCCAGGGGUGCCUCAGAAGAAAGACCUAGUGAUCUACUUCUGAAAAGCUAGCCGUUGAACACCCUAUGACCCACAGUUCUGCUCUGACACAGAUGGGGUGUCCAUGAGUCAGUCAACUCGAUGGCAACUGGUACCUUUCCAUUACUUCUCACAGUUCUAGAAACGAACUCCUCAUCGGUAUUUGAAGGUUUCAGGAUCUGACCCCCAUUUCGUCUCUCUCUUUUCGUUUCUGCAUACCCCACCUCUUUCACAGUAGUUUACCCAGCGACCUGAAUGACUAAGUUUUCUGAGCACGCUUGAACCUCUCUGACUUCUGGCCUUUACACUUUUCUCUUUCAGAUGCUGGGAUGUUCUUCCCUGCCCUGCUUUGCCUGGUCAUCUCAUCUUUCUCCAGAGCCCAGCUCAGGUGUGACUCUUACCUGGUGGAGUCUUUCCUGAUGUUACGUCUCAGGGCAAGUGCCCCUCGAAGGGCUUUCACAGCUUCCUGGGGUGGCCGUUUUAGUGGCUGUACCUUCCCGGUCCAUUACACUUGCUUGUUUAUGUUUGCUGGAUUGUGCACUUCUCUAGACCCAACCGGUUGUCACUGAGCUGAAUCUGGGUCAUGGUGACCCCGCCUGUGUCAGAGUAGAACUGUGCUCCAUGAGGGUUUCAGUGGCUGACUGGGUCAUGGUGACCCCGCCUGUGUCAGAGUAGAACUGUGCUCCAUGAGGGUUUCAAUGGCUGACUGGGUCAUGGUGACCCCGCCUGUGUCAGAGUAGAGCUGUGCUCCAUGAGGGUUUCAAUGGCUGACUGGGUCAUGGUGACCCCCGCCUGUGUCAGAGUAGAGCUGUGCUCCAUGAGGGUUUCAGUGGCUGACUGGGUCAUGGUGACCCCGCCUGUGUCAGAGUAGAACUGUGCUCCAUGAGGGUUUCAAUGGCUGACUGGGUCAUGGUGACCCCGCCUGUGUCAGAGUAGAGCUGUGCUCCAUGAGGGUUUCAAUGGCUGACUGGGUCAUGGUGACCCCCGCCUGUGUCAGAGUAGAGCUGUGCUCCAUGAGGGUUUCAGUGGCUGACUGGGUCAUGGUGACCCCGCCUGUGUCAGAGUAGAACUGUGCUCCAUGAGGGUUUCAAUGGCUGACUGGGUCAUGGUGACCCCGCCUGUGUCAGAGUAGAGCUGUGCUCCAUGAGGGUUUCAAUGGCUGACUGGGUCAUGGUGACCCCCGCCUGUGUCAGAGUAGAGCUGUGCUCCAUGAGGGUUUCAGUGGCUGACUGGGUCAUGGUGACCCCGCCUGUGUCAGAGUAGAACUGUGCUCCAUGAGGGUUUCAAUGGCUGACUGGGUCAUGGUGACCCCGCCUGUGUCAGAGUAGAGCUGUGCUCCAUGAGGGUUUCAAUGGCUGACUGGGUCAUGGUGACCCCGCCUGUGUCAGAGUAGAACUGUGCUCCAUGAGGGUUUCAAUGGCUGACUGGGUCAUGGUGACCCCGCCUGUGUCAGAGUAGAACUGUGCUCCAUGAGGGUUUCAAUGGCCGACUGGGUCAUGGUGACCCCGCCUGUGUCAGAGUAGAACUGUGCUCCAUGAGGGUUUCAAUGGCCGACUGGGUCAUGGUGACUCCGCCUAUGUCAGAGUAGAACUGUGCUCCAUGAGGGUUUCAAUGGCUGACUGGGUCAUGGUGACCCCCGCCUGUGUCAGAGUAGAGCUGUGCUCCAUGAGGGUUUCAGUGGCUGACUGGGUCAUGGUGACCCCGCCUGUGUCAGAGUAGAACUGUGCUCCAUGAGGGUUUCAAUGGCUGACUGGGUCAUGGUGACCCCGCCUGUGUCAGAGUAGAGCUGUGCUCCAUGAGGGUUUCAAUGGCUGACUGGGUCAUGGUGACCCCACCUGUGUCAGAGUAGAACUGUGCUCCAUGAGGGUUUCAAUGGCUGACUGGGUCAUGGUGACCCCGCCUGUGUCAGAGUAGAACUGUGCUCCAUGAGGGUUUCAAUGGCUGACUGGGUCAUGGUGACCCCGCCUGUGUCAGAGUAGAACUGUGCUCCAUGAGGGUUUCAAUGGCCGACUGGGUCAUGGUGACCCCGCCUAUGUCAGAGUAGAACUGUGCUCCAUGAGGGUUUCAAUGGCUGACUGGGUCAUGGUGACCCCGCCUGUGUCAGAGUAGAGCUGUGCUCCAUGAGGGUUUCAAUGGCUGACUGGGUCAUGGUGACCCUGCCUGUGUCAGAGUAGAACUGUGCUCCAUGAGGGUUUCAAUGGCUGACUGGGUCAUGGUGAUCCCGCCUGUGUCAGAGUAGAGCUGUGCUCCAUGAGGGUUUCAAUGGCUGAUUUUUCAGAAGGGGAUCACCAGGCCUUUCUUCUGAGGCACUUCUGGGUGGACUUGAACCACCAGCCUUCCGGUUAGCAGUAGAGUGCUUUAACCUUUUGCACCACUCAGGGACUCCUCUGGGGCAGUGGGUCUCCAACUCCUCCAGCACGUAUCAGCAUCCCCUGGAUGGCUUGUUAAAAGAAUGCUGGGUCUACUCCAGAGAUGCCGAUUUAGUAGGUCUGAAAUGGAGCUUGAGAAUUUCAUUUCUCAUAAGUUCCCAGUUGCUGAUGCUGCUGGUCUGGCCACAGAAUGUGAACCACUGCUCUAGGGCAAGGACUGUGCUUACUUUCUUCAUCUCUGUAUCCCAGCAUGUAGUCAUCCUGGUUCAGAGUCUUGGCAGGUACUCGGCCGUCAAUAGGGAUCUGUUAGUGUUGAAUGAAUGAGUGUAGCUAAAGGAGGUUAUAUUGGGCACUGAAGUUGGAAUGGACUCCGUGGCAAUGGGUUUGGUUUUUUUUUUUCCCCCAAUAAUAUGCCAGGUGGGAAGACUGAACACUUUCUGAGAAUUAAUGAUGAACAUGGUGGGAGGAAGUAUAGUGCCUGGCACACACCAAACCACACCCGUUGCCUUUGAGUUGAUUCUAACUCAUAGUGACCCUAUAAGACAGAGUGGAACUGCCCCAUAGGGUUUCCAAGGAGCGGCUGGAAGUGCUAAGUAAGUCCUCUGAAUAGGAGGAAGGGGACAGCAGGUAAGGUGUGGGGAGACUCUGGGGGAGGUAAGGAAGGGAGAAAGGUGAGAGCUCUUGAAGAACUGUAUGAGUUGACAAUAGCAACUGGAAAGUUCAGUUGGGAAGCUUAAGGGGCAGUGAGUUUAUGCUAAUCGGGGAGGAACAACUCAGAAUAAGAGGGUGAGAAUGGUUGAUUUCACAACUUGAAGAAUGUAAUCAACGGCACUGAAUUGUACUUGUACAAAUUAUUGACUUGGUGUGUGUUUUGGUGUGUAUACUUUCAACAACAACAAAAAAAAGGGUGAGAGGUGGACUCUUUCUAGAUUCUCAGAUGUGGGGCUUAACACAUUCAUUUUGUGACUUUCUUAUUUCCUAGUGUGAGCCUUUUAAGGCAGGACAUUUUAGCUAUGUGCCAUAAAUCUCAAGAAUGUUCUUAUUUUGUUAUGGUUCAGUUCUAAGUGUUUUAAAAUUUCCAUGUGCUUUCUUCUUCAACCCAUGAAUUAUUUUGAAGUAUGUCUUAAAUUUUCAAACCUGUGGGAUUUUUUUGUAUUAUCUUUUUUUGUAAUUGAUUUCUGCAUUAACUGCAUGGUGGUCAGAGCAUGUGGUCUGUAUAAUAUCAACCCUUUGGCUUUUUUUUUUUUUUGAGCAGAUCUUAUUGGCUUAGCCUGGGCUUGCUUUUUGUAAAUGUGUAAACGCUGUAUGUGUAAGUGAAUACAGUGUGCGUUCUCCACUUGUUGGGUGCAGUGUUCCAGAAUGUCCAUUGUUCAAACUUGCUAAUGGUACCAUUUAUAUUCUCACUGUUCUCACUAUAUUCUUACUAUUCCGUUGCUAGCUCGUUCUAUCCAUUACUGAGAUGGGGGUGUUAAAAUAGCCCAGUAUGGUGGUAGAUUUUUCAAGUUCUCCUUGCAGCUGUGUUAAUUUUUGCUUUAUGUAUGUUAAGUGCAUACAAAGUUAGACUCAUUACCUCUUCCUGAUGAAUGGAGGCUUUUCCCAUUGCAUAAUUACCUUAUUAUCCCUAGUACUGCUCUUUGUUUUACAGUUUGCUUUGUCUGAUAAUAUAGUGAUGCCAGCUUUCUUUUAGUUAGUACUGGCCUGGAAUGUUAUUUUCCAUCUUUAGACUUUUCUGUGUGCCUAUGUUUAUUUUUUUAUUUUUUGGGGAUGCCUUUCUCUCUCCCUUUUUUAAAUUGUACUUUAGAUGAGGGUUUGUAGAACAAACUAGUUUCUGAUUAAACAGUUAGUACACUUAUUGUUUUAUGAUAUUGGUUAACGACCCCACAACAUGUCAACACUCUCCCUUCUCAACCUUAGGUUCCCUGUUACCAGCUCUCCUGUCCCCUCCUGCCUUCUGGCCCUUGCCCCAGGACUGGUGUGCCCCUUUAGUCUCAUUUUGUUUUGUGGGCCUGUCCAAUCUUUGGCUGAAGGGUGAACCUCAGGAGUGACUUCAUUAGUGAGUUGAUAGGGUGUCCAGGGGCCAUAGUCUCAGGAUUUUUCCAGUCUCUGUCAGGCCAGCAAGUCUGGUCUUUCUUUUGGGGCUAGAAUUGUGUUCUACAUUUUUCUCUGGCUCUGUCCAGGACCCUCUAUUGUGAUCCCUGUCGGAGUAGUCAGUGGUGGUAGACAGGCGCCAUCUAGUUGUACUGGACUCAGUCUGGUGGGGGCCGUGGUAGAUGUGGUCCUUAGUCCUUUGGGCUAAUAUUUCCCUUGUAUCUUUAGUUUUCUUCAUUCUUCCUUGCUCCUGAAGGGGUGAGACCAAUGGAGUAUCCUAGAUGGCCACUCACAGGCUUUUAAGACCCCAGACGCUACUCACCAAAGUAGAAUGUAGAACAGUUUCUUUAUAAAUUAUGUUAUGCCGAUUGAGCUAGAUGUUCCUGGAGACCAUGGCCCCCACAGCUCUCAGCCCAGCAAUUCAGUCCCUCAGGGAGUUUGGGUGUGUCUAUGGAACUUCCAUGACCUUGCCUUGUACAGUUUGUGCUGGCUUCCCCAGUAUUGUGGACUGUCUUACCCUUCACCAUAGUUACCCCUUAUCUAUUCUCUCAUUUUUAUUGUCUCAUUAGUGUUUUUCUAUUCCCACCCCCCCCCUCCCCCCUUUUAACCAUCAAAGAUUGUUUCUUUUUGCAUGUAAACCUUUUCAUGAGUUUUUAAAGUAGUGGUCUCAUACAGUGUUUGUCCUUUUGUGAUCGACUUAUUUCACUCAGCAUAACGCCCUCCAGAUUCAUUCAUGUUAUGAGAAGCUUCACAGAUUCAUUGUCCUUUAUCUUUGUGUAAUAUUCCAUUGUGUGUAUGUACCACAGUUUCUUUAUCCAUUCAGAUGUUGAUGGGCAGCUAGAAUGUUUCCAUCUUUUUGCUGUUGUGAAUAAUGCUGCAGUGAACAUGGGUGUGCGUACAUCUAUACGUGUGAUAACUCUUAUUUUUCUAGGAUAUAUUCCUAGGAGUGGGGCUGCUGGAUCAUAUGGUAUUUCUAGUUCUAGCUUUCUAAGGAAGCACUGUAUUGUUUUUACAAAAUGGUUGUAUCAUUUUGCAUUCCCACCAACAGUGCAUAAGAGUUCUGAUCUUCCUGCAGCCUCUCCAACAUUUGUUAUUUCCUGUUUUUUUUCAUUCAUGCCAGUAAUGCUGGGGUGAGAUGGUAUCUCAUUGUGGUUUUGAUUUGCAUUUCUCUGAUGGCUAGUGAUCUGAGGUGCCUCUCUUUUAAAUAACAAGCAUAGCUAAAUUUUAAAAGCAUCCUGUCUGAAAAAUUUUUGUCUUUUAAUUGGAAAGUUUUGCUCUUUAAGUUUAUUGUAAUUACUGAUACUCGUAUUUAUUUUCAACCAUCUUAUUAAUACAUUCUACUGGAUUUCUCCUGCUGUUUUGGUUUGUUUCCCCUUCCCAGCGUCACCACUUACCUUUCUCCUUUUGAGCGAUUGAUGGUUUUUUCCAUUAUUCUAGAUUUUUUUCCCCUAAGAUAUUUUGAACAUUCUAUGUCUAUAUUGUUCUCGUUGGGUGCCGUUGAGUUGAUUCUGACUCACGGCGACUGUGUACGACAGAGUAGAACUUUCUUGGCUGCAGUCUUUAUGGAAGCAGAUCACCAGGUCUUUCUCCUGCAGGGCCUCUAGGUGGGUUCGGGUUGCCAAGCUUUCAGUUAGCGGCCAAGUGCUUAACCGUUGCUACACCAGGGCUUCUAUGUCUAUGGAAGUGUAUCUGUUGUUUUGGCUGUUACCUUAGAUAUUCUGAUGUACAUAUUAGACAAAAUUUAAGCUUAAUUAUGUUUAACUACCUUCAUAUGUAAGGACCUUAGAAUGCUUUAGUUCAGUGUCUUCAAAUUGGAGCACUCACAAGUAUACAUUCUACAGGAUGUGUGGGGAUUGUCUUAGGGGAAUGAAUUCCCUUAACCUCUGCUUUCACAUGCGUGCUUGCUGAAAUUGAUCUGCUGAAAAGUCACCUGAGAUGGAGGUGCAGAACUUCCCUUCUUCUCCUUUUAUAAUUUCCCUUUUCCUACCUCUCACCCAUCUCGAGUCUAUCUAUGGCACAUUGCCCUGGGUGUACAAAUACAAACUUUUAAAUUACCAACAAAGGAUCGAUUAAAAAAUAUUGGUGUUAGGAUUGAGAUAGUGCAUGGCUUUAAUCGUUGGGUAACAAAUACUCCUGCAAGUCAACUGGUUUUCAUUUGUUUGAGUAAUUUUCGUGCAAAAUCAGAGCGUGACUUUUGGCAUGUAGCUCAGAAAUUCAAAGAACUGAGGGCCACUGCUUUAACAAAUCUGACCCUAUUUCCACCUCCUAAUGAGCAGGGUUUCUCAGUGCUUGCACCUGUACAAACUAAAAUUAGAAGUGGGAUUGAUGCUGAACCUUUCUCAUGCUGGUGAUUUAUUAUUAUUUUUUGUUUUGUUUUGGGUGCUUCUCUUUUAAAUAACAGGCUUAACUAAAAUUUAAAAGCAUCCACCAUGCAUGAAGUGAUUGGCAAUAAAACCUGCCCCUACCAUCUCAUUGGGAGAUACAUUUUUAUAAAAUUUUACUUUGCGUAUUUAAUAAUUAUAUGUCAAAAUGUAUUGCAUCUUUAUGCUGCUUUGAUUAAUAUUUUACUAAUCAUAAUGACUCAAAAGAAUUUUUUAGUACUUUGCCUUAUACAGAAAAUAAAAAUUAAAAAAAAUUGUUUUAAAGUUUCAUUUUAUAGUCAAGUUUCUGCUGCCGAAAAGCCUGACAGACUGAUCCAUAAAAAACUUUUGAGAAUAUAAAUGGUCAUAUUAGAAUAAAAUUCAGUGGGGGAGGUAGAAGAGAAAUAAUCAUCCAAGAAAAAAAAAAAAAAAGGAAGACUGUAAAGUGAAAGAGAGAAAGGCAGUUUCUGCCCUCUGGGGCCUGGCCUGACACAAGAACUAGGACUCAGUGCUGCCAGCGGGUGGUGUGGCAGUCACAGAUAUUCUCUCAUGGAACGCGACAAUCUCACAUUAUACAAAACACAGACAAAGCCACUCUGUGGCUGUGGUGAUGUGUGCAAAAAGAUAAAUAGGACUACUUCAUAAUCUGGCCUAAGCACAGACAAAAACAAGGUCACUGUGAAGCCACAAGAAUACUAAACAUCCCUGUGGCAGACAUCUCCUAGGGUGGUCCCCACGAUUACUGCCCCCUACUACCCAUGCCUUUGUGUAAUUCGCUCACCUUGAGGGGGUGGGAUUUGUGGCUUGCCUCUAACCAAUGUAAUAUGGCAAAGGUGAAGAGAUUUUGAAGGUGUUAUUAAAAUCCCUAAUCAGUUGAUUUUGAUACCUCAAAGGACUAUAACCUGGGUGGGCCUGACCCCUUCUCUGAAGGCAGGGACUCUCCAGCAGCAGAAUCUCUCUCUCUUGCUAGCUUUGAAGACACAAGUUGUUGUGAAUUCUACAGCUGCAUGGAAAUGAGUUCUGCUAACAACUAGAGGGAGCUUAGAAGUGGAUCCUUCUCUGGCCAAGCCUCCAGAUGAGAAUGCAGCCCAGCCGACACCUUGAUUGCAGUCUUUAGAGACCCUGGUCCAAGGACCCAGUUAAGUGGGAUCCCAACUUCUGACCAGCAGAAACUGUGUGUUCCUGGCCAUCUUUGGCUGGAAAGUACUGACAAAAAUUUCUGCUUGUUGACGAAGAGCUUGCUCAUGUGUUUCAUAAAAGACUAAUGAUGGGAAACUACACUGACCAAGAACUUCCAGAAAUUCAAGUUGCGUUCAGAAGAGGACAUGGAAUGAGGGAUAUCAUUGCUGAUAUCAGAUGGAUCUUGGCUGAAAGCAGAGAACACCAGAAGGAUGUUUACCUGUGUUUUAUUGACUAUACAAAGGCAUUAGACUGUGUGGAUCAUAACAAAUUAUGGACAACAUUGCAAGAAUUAGAAUUCCAGAACACUUAAUUGUGCUCCUGUGGGAUCUGUACAUAGACCAAGAGGCAGUUGUUCAAACAGAACCGGAGGAUACAGCGUGGUUUAAAAUCAGGAAGGGUGUAUGUCAGCGUUGUCUUCUUUCACCAUACUUAUUCAAUCUGUAUGCUAAGCAAAUAAUCCGAGAAGCUAGACUAUGAAGAAGAGCACAGCAUCAGGAUUGGAGGAAGACUCGUUAACAACCUGUGAUACGCAGAUGACCCAAUUUUGCUUGCUGAAAACAAAGAGGACUUGAAGCACUUACUGCUGAAGAUCAAAGACUACAGCCUUGAGUAUGGAUUAUAUCUCAACAUAAAACAAAAAUCCUCACAACCGGACCAAUAAGCAACAUCAUGAUAAACUGAGAAAAUAUUGAAGGUGUCAAGGAUUUCAUUUUACUUGGAUCCACAAUCAACACCCAUGAAAUCAGCAGUCAGGAAAUCAAACGAUGCAUUGCAUUAGGCAAAUCUGCUGCAAAAGACCUCUUUAAAGUGUUAAAAAGCAAAGAUGUCACUUUAAGGACUAAGGUGCAUCUGACCCAAGCCGUGGUGUUUUCAAUUGCGUCAUGUGCAUGUGAAAGCUGGACAGUGAAUAAGGAAGACAGAAGAAAUUAUGCCUUUGAAUUAUGGUGUUGGCGAAGAAUAUUGAAUAUACCAUGGACUGCCAGAAAAACAAACAAAUCUGUCUUGGAAGAAGUCCAGCCAGAAUGCUCCUUAGAAGUGAGGAUGGCGAGACUUCAUCUCAUGUACUUUGGACACAUUAUCAGGAGGGACCAGUCCCUGGAGGAGGACAUCAUGCCUGAUAAAGUAGAGGGUCAGGAAAAAAGAGGAAGACCCUCAGUGAGAUGAAUUGACUCAGUGGCUACAAGAAUGAGCUCAAAGAUAGCAACAAUUGUGAGGCUGGAGCAGAAGAACCAGGCAGUAUUUUGCUCUGUUGUACAUAUGUUUGCCAUGAGUCAGAACUGACUUGACAGCACCUAACAACAACAACAACAAACAGGAAACUAAUACACAACAUAAAGAAAAUUUUCACCCUUGGCCUGCGAGUGAGGGAUGCACAAGUGGAAGAAGCUCUGAGCUUGGUUGUGAAUACUGGCUCCAUCACUUUUCAGUGGAGGGCCUGUGGGCAGUCCAAGCUUAAGUUUUCUCCAGUAUAAAGUUGGACUAAUUGUAUAGAACUAUGAGUCUUUUAAAGUUCUGGCCAAUCAGAAAGUUUUAUGAUAUGUACUAGGUUGAAACCAGGAGCCUGCUGGGUCUACUUCUACUACUUGUGGAGGGAGAGGGAGGAGAGGAGAGGAGAGAAGGGACUGCCCAUCUUGGGCUGGAAGGGGGCAGGACUUUGACCAUCCCACAGCCUUUGAUGGCAGCAGAGCAAAUGGCACCCCACUCCUAAGCUGCACCAGGCAUACAACUUACCAGGUCUGCCAGUCAUGAUGGAAGGUUGUGUAAAUCUGGCUUAAUUCACAGCUUCUCUUAACAGUUCAAUUGAAAUUGCAACUAAUUUAGGCUCAUUCAUAAUAGUCAUUGAUGUAAAUGACUGCAAAUGUGGAGGAGCCCAGCACAAAGCCUGAUAAUUACUUCACAAUGAAAAUCCAGCUAUAGGAACAUCACUGUUGCUAUGACAACCAUGAGCAAAGCCUGGUUGCCCACAGUUACCCACGUUACCAGCUGUCCCUGGGGCUUGAAUCUUAGCUUUGAAUGAGCCUCAGGGACAUAUGGGAACUAUAUGUGCAUCUGAAUGAAAGAAUCUCUCUUCACCCACGGGUAUUUCUGAUAUAUCCCCAUUUUUUUUUUUUUUUUAGCUCUGGUGGGUUCAUGAAGAGUCUAUCUCAUUAAAGGACCAUUGAGUUCUCAGAACCAGAGUCUCAAAGUGUCCCUUUCCAUUUUCUUUGCUUAUCUUUAGAAAAAAAAAAUUCUUUGUUAAAUUAAAAAAAUAGACAAUACAGAUGCGUGGUUCAAACCUCAAAAAAUGCAGAAGACAUAUAGGGAAGUUCUCUUUCCUAUCCCUGUCCCCCAUCUUCCCACCUUAUAUCUUGUCCAAAAGGUAUUUUUUUAUGCCCAUACAAGUCGACACAAAAAUAUAUUCCCUUCUUCUUUUUAUACACAUGGUAAUAUAUCGUACAUACUGCCCUGAACCUGUUUUUUUCUCUUAAUAUUUCUUGAAGAUUGUCUUAUAUCAGUCCAUAAUAUGAGCGGCAAAGUAUUCCGUAGUGUGGAUGUACCAAAAUGUGUUCAGGAGUCCCUACUGAUGGAUAUUUAUGUUGUUUCCAGGACUUUGCUAUCGAAAGAAUGCUGCAGUGACUAGCUUUAUAUUAAUGCCAUUUUACAUGUGUGAGUUAUCUGUAAAAUAAAAUUCUAGAUGUAGGAUUGCUGGUUAAAAGAGUAUGUAGAUUUGGGCUUUUGAACUGCCUCCAUCAAUUUUGUACUGAGUUGCAUUCCCACCAGCCAUGCAUAUGAAGGCUUUUCCUUACAGCUCCAUAAAGAAUGUUCUGUCAAGGUUUAAACACAGAAGAAAACAUUCUUUGAUGCUUACGAGCGUGAGGAAGGAAGGAGAGGGGAAUUCACUAAUUGGAUAGUAGAUGAAAAUUAACUUAGGUGAAGGAAAGGACAAUGCGCAAUAUAGGGGAAGUCAGCACCACUGGACUAAGCCAAAAGCUAAGGAGUCUUCUGAAUACAACCAGACAAUUUGAGGGACAAUGUAGCAGGGGCAGGGGUCUGGGAACCGUGGUUUCGGGGGACAUCUAAGUCAACUGGUGUAACAAAGCUUUAAGAAAAUGUUUUGCAUCCCACUUUGGUGAGUGGCACCUGGGGUCUUAAAAGCUAGUAAGUGGCCAUCUAAAAUGCAUCAACUGGUCUCAAUCCACCUGGAGCAAAGAAGAAUGAAGAACACCAAAGAUACAAGGAAAAUAUUAGCCCAAGAGACAAAAGGGGCCACAUAAACCAGAGACUCCAUCAGCCUGAGACCAGAAGAACUAGAUGGUGCCUAGCUACCACCAGUGACCGCCCUGACAGGGAACACAACAGAGAUGCCCUGACAGAGCAGGAGAAAAGUGGGGUGCAGAACUCAAAUUCUAGUAAAAAGACCAGACUUAAUGGUCUGACUGAGACUGGUGGAACCCCAGAAGACAUGGCCCCCCAACUCUUUGUUAACCCAGAACUAAAAUCAUUCCUGAAGCCAACUCUUCAGGCAAAGAAUAGAUUGGACUCUAAGACAUAAAAUGAUACUCAAGAAGAGAGUGCUUCAAGUAGAUACAUGAGACUAAAUGGGCAGCACCUGUCUGGAGGUGAGAUGAGAAGGCAGUAAGGAAUAGGAGCUGGUAGAAUGGACAUGGGAAAUCUGGGGUGGAAAGGAGGAAUGUGCGGUCACAUUAUAGGAAUAGCAACUAGGGUCACAUAACAAUGCGCAUAUAAAUUUUUGAAUUGGAAACUAACUUGAGCUGUAACCUUUCACCUAAAGCACAAUUAAAAAAAAAAAUGUUUGUCAAAAUCCUGAGUUUUUGCCAAACUGGUAAUGGUAUCUCAGGAGAGUUAGAAUUUGCAUUUCCCUUAUGUAUUUAAUUUAAAUGAACUUCAUAUGCGUUGCUUAUUUUCUGUGGUGGUGUUGGUCUUUUUCUUAGGGAAAGCUCUUAGUAUAUUAGGGAGAUUAGCACUUUGUGAUGUGAGUUUCAAUUUUUUUCUCCUUCAAUUUGUCAUUUGACUUUGACAGCAUAGAAUAAUGGCUCAGAGCACUAGCUCUGGAGCCAAAUUGUCUGGGUUCAAAUUCCAGGUCGUCAUUUACUGGCUGAGUGACUCCUGAAAUUUAUUUCUCAUAAGUUUUUUGUAAAGAUUAAAUGCUUAAUAUAUUUAAAGAUUAUAUAGAGUAUAGUAAAUCAUGUAUUUGAUAGCUCUUAUUAUUUUCCUUUUUUGAAAUUGUUCCUGACUAGAACAUUAAAUUUUUUUUUAUUGUAAAAAUGGUUUCUGCAUUUUAUGUUGUAGUUAGAAAGACCUUAAGAAACUUCUCCUAUGCCCUCCUUUGUAUAGCUCAUGACUUUUUUCAGUAUGUGAAAAGUAUAGCUGAGUGGUUAUGAGCAUUGAUUUUUGAGCCAGGCAGGUUUGGGUUUAAAUGGUAGCUCUACCACUUACUAGCCAAAUGAUCUUGAACAAGUCAUUGCACAUCAUUAAGCCUUGGUCUUCUCAUCAAGAAAUGAGGAUUAAAAUGACACCCACUCACAAAAGUGGCAGUGAGAACUGGGAUUGUGACUGGCACAUGGUGAGUAUGAAUGCAAAAUUAAUGGUGGCCAUUGCUGUUAUUACCAUGGUACCAGCCACACUUCAGUCUAUUGAAUUUUUAUUUCUCUGUCUUUCCAGUAGACUGUGAGUUCCCCAAGGGCAGCCACUAUGUCUUGUUUUGUAUCCCCAGAUCAGCACAAAAGUGCCUCGACAAAUGCUGGUUGACAGAAUGAACAGAGAAAUACGCUCAAAACAACUUUAGAGAUUGUUUAGUUUAGAUGACCUUUGGCAGUUUAAAGAGGCGAAAACCAAGGCAGAGUGACUUGCCCAAGGUCACAGAGUCAGGAUGGAACCUGGAACUUUUGACUUCUAUUCAAGGCUCUAUCUACCACUUCCAGAGGCCAGUGGCUGGGUGGAGGAGAGAAACCUGCCAUCUCCGAUGCCAUGUUGGUCCCCAGCUGGGCUGGAUGGCAUAUGAUGUCCUUCAUGUCUCUAAUCAUCACUGAUCAUUGAGUCCUCCACUUCAGCUCUUAAAGCAGUCAUUCAUCUUUCUUGCUGACUGUAGACUCAUUAAAAAAAAAAAAAGUAUACGGAUUUGAAUUGAAUUGAGUUGAAUCAAAUUUGAUUUUUCUGGGCCUUGGUUCUUCAACUCUAAAAUGGGAGCAGUGAUUCAUUUACUCACUUGUUCAUUGGACAAACAUUUUUAGAGCCUCUUUUUUUUUUUUUAUCUGGGACUGCAGUGGUCGCUGUGGCUACAAAGAUGAACAGAGCAUAAGCUUUGCACACAGAGAGCUCAGAGAGCUGCACAGCAGUUAACUCAAUGAUCCGUAAAUAGUACCUGACUCUUUUUCAGACUGCCAGGGUAUACUCAGAAGCAUGAAUACUGUGCUUCGGAGAAUAUAAGCCAGAGGAGCUGUUUGUUUGGCUUGGGGAAGAGUUAAAGAAACUUCAAAGAGGAUGUGGCAUUUGAAGGGUAACUAGGAGCACCUAGUUUACUGACUGUGGUGCUGUUUGUGGAUUCUUCUUGGCUGAUGAUGCCCUUUAUAUGACAGGCACUGUGGGAAGCAGAUGCAGAAGUAACACAGGCUCAGGGCCUUGUACUUCCUUGAUAUGAUGAUUAGCUGAGCUCUGGCAACCCCUACCUCAACUUCUGCCCCAGUGAAAGAUUACCAUAUUUAGCAUAAAAAUACAGGAAUCCAGUUAAAUUUGAAUUUCAGAUAAACAACUUUUGCAUGGGAUAUACUUACAUUAAUACUUAUACUAAAAAUUAUUUGUUGUUUAUCUGAAAUCCCAGUUUAACUGGAAGACCUGCAUUUUAUCUGGUAAACAACCCCAGUGACACAUGCCACAAAAAUCUUAUUGCUAGGGUCCCUUUUCUUUAGCAGGCAGCCCUUUUGGACGGAGAAAAUUCUGAAUGGCUUAAGCCCCACUACUUGCCUCAGCACCCAAUUGGCCUGUGAGAAACUUACCCUUGCCACUCCAAACACUGAGAAAGGAUACGCCACUGCUGCUGCCUUUCCCCACCAUCAGGGGCAACUCCAGCCAAUCCCAUCCAUUCCCUGCUCUCCCACAACCCACCCCAUCACUUUCUAGGUAGGAUGCAGGCACUCAUCUCUAUGUUGGCAGACAGACUCCAGACUCCAGGAGAUCUGCAUUACCUUUUUAUAAGAAAGCUCAUGUUAUCAGUUAACAUUUACCCUAUCAGUUAGCAUUAGGUUUGGCAAUAUAUAUAAUAGAAAACUUCGAAAGCUGGUUUA